GUGCCACAGGCUAAGCAGCUCUUAUCUACACAUGCUCCCUCCCAUGAUGCUCUUCUCACCUCGGGCCCAGUGACCAUGGACCAAGAACUCUAAAAUGCACCUGAACAUCAGGGACCAAUGAGAAGAAACUGGUUUGGAGCCAAACAGCCUGGAUCAUGGCCCUUGCCCGGACUCACAUUCGGUACAGCUGCGCGCGAACUGUACCGAGGGUGUAACACCAAAACCGGGUGUUACA